rnacentral:tRNA from 4 species
GCGGGUGUGGCGGAAUGGCAGACGCGCAUGGUUUAGGACCAUGUAUCCGUAAAGGAUGUGGGGGUUCAAGUCCCUCCACCCGCACCA